rnacentral:misc_RNA from 1 species
GAUGAAGAACGUAGCGAAAUGCGAUAAGUAGUGUGAAUUGCAGAAUUCAGUGAAUCAUCGAAUCUUUGAACGCACAUUGCGCCCCUUGGUAUUCCAUGGGGCAUGCCUGUUCGAGCGUCAUUUGUACCUUCAAGCUCUGCUUGGUGUUGGGUGUUUGUCUCGCCUUUGCGUGUAGACUCGCCUUAAAAUAAUUGGCAGCCGGCGUAUUGAUUUCGGAGCGCAGUACAUCUCGCGCUUUGCACUCAUAACGACAGCGUCCAAAAGUACAUUUUACACUCUUGACCUCGGAUCAGGUAGGGAUACCCGCUGAACUUAAGCAUAUCAAUAAGCGGAGGA